rnacentral:rRNA from 1 species
UUAAGCGACUAAGCGUACACGGUGGAUGCCCUGGCAGUCAGAGGCGAUGAAGGACGUGCUAAUCUGCGAUAAGCGUCGGUAAGGUGAUAUGAACCGUUAUAACCGGCGAUUUCCGAAUGGGGAAACCCAGUGUGUUUCGACACACUAUCAUUAACUGAAUCCAUAGGUUAAUGAGGCGAACCGGGGGAACUGAAACAUCUAAGUACCCCGAGGAAAAGAAAUCAACCGAGAUUCCCCCAGUAGCGGCGAGCGAACGGGGAGCAGCCCAGAGCCUGAAUCAGUGUGUGUGUUAGUGGAAGCGUCUGGAAAGGCGCGCGAUACAGGGUGACAGCCCCGUACACAAAAAUGCACAUGCUGUGAGCUCGAUGAGUAGGGCGGGACACGUGGUAUCCUGUCUGAAUAUGGGGGGACCAUCCUCCAAGGCUAAAUACUCCUGACUGACCGAUAGUGAACCAGUACCGUGAGGGAAAGGCGAAAAGAACCCCGGCGAGGGGAGUGAAAAAGAACCUGAAACCGUGUACGUACAAGCAGUGGGAGCACGCUUAGGCGUGUGACUGCGUACCUUUUGUAUAAUGGGUCAGCGACUUAUAUUCUGUAGCAAGGUUAACCGAAUAGGGGAGCCGAAGGGAAACCGAGUCUUAACUGGGCGUUAAGUUGCAGGGUAUAGACCCGAAACCCGGUGAUCUAGCCAUGGGCAGGUUGAAGGUUGGGUAACACUAACUGGAGGACCGAACCGACUAAUGUUGAAAAAUUAGCGGAUGACUUGUGGCUGGGGGUGAAAGGCCAAUCAAACCGGGAGAUAGCUGGUUCUCCCCGAAAGCUAUUUAGGUAGCGCCUCGUGAAUUCAUCUCCGGGGGUAGAGCACUGUUUCGGCAAGGGGGUCAUCCCGACUUACCAACCCGAUGCAAACUGCGAAUACCGGAGAAUGUUAUCACGGGAGACACACGGCGGGUGCUAACGUCCGUCGUGAAGAGGGAAACAACCCAGACCGCCAGCUAAGGUCCCAAAGUCAUGGUUAAGUGGGAAACGAUGUGGGAAGGCCCAGACAGCCAGGAUGUUGGCUUAGAAGCAGCCAUCAUUUAAAGAAAGCGUAAUAGCUCACUGGUCGAGUCGGCCUGCGCGGAAGAUGUAACGGGGCUAAACCAUGCACCGAAGCUGCGGCAGCGACACUAUGUGUUGUUGGGUAGGGGAGCGUUCUGUAAGCCUGUGAAGGUGUGCUGUGAGGCAUGCUGGAGGUAUCAGAAGUGCGAAUGCUGACAUAAGUAACGAUAAAGCGGGUGAAAAGCCCGCUCGCCGGAAGACCAAGGGUUCCUGUCCAACGUUAAUCGGGGCAGGGUGAGUCGACCCCUAAGGCGAGGCCGAAAGGCGUAGUCGAUGGGAAACAGGUUAAUAUUCCUGUACUUGGUGUUACUGCGAAGGGGGGACGGAGAAGGCUAUGUUGGCCGGGCGACGGUUGUCCCGGUUUAAGCGUGUAGGCUGGUUUUCCAGGCAAAUCCGGAAAAUCAAGGCUGAGGCGUGAUGACGAGGCACUACGGUGCUGAAGCAACAAAUGCCCUGCUUCCAGGAAAAGCCUCUAAGCAUCAGGUAACAUCAAAUCGUACCCCAAACCGACACAGGUGGUCAGGUAGAGAAUACCAAGGCGCUUGAGAGAACUCGGGUGAAGGAACUAGGCAAAAUGGUGCCGUAACUUCGGGAGAAGGCACGCUGAUAUGUAGGUGAGGUCCCUUGCGGAUGGAGCUGAAAUCAGUCGAAGAUACCAGCUGGCUGCAACUGUUUAUUAAAAACACAGCACUGUGCAAACACGAAAGUGGACGUAUACGGUGUGACGCCUGCCCGGUGCCGGAAGGUUAAUUGAUGGGGUCAGCGCAAGCGAAGCUCUUGAUCGAAGCCCCGGUAAACGGCGGCCGUAACUAUAACGGUCCUAAGGUAGCGAAAUUCCUUGUCGGGUAAGUUCCGACCUGCACGAAUGGCGUAAUGAUGGCCAGGCUGUCUCCACCCGAGACUCAGUGAAAUUGAACUCGCUGUGAAGAUGCAGUGUACCCGCGGCAAGACGGAAAGACCCCGUGAACCUUUACUAUAGCUUGACACUGAACAUUGAGCCUUGAUGUGUAGGAUAGGUGGGAGGCUUUGAAGUGUGGACGCCAGUCUGCAUGGAGCCGACCUUGAAAUACCACCCUUUAAUGUUUGAUGUUCUAACGUUGACCCGUAAUCCGGGUUGCGGACAGUGUCUGGUGGGUAGUUUGACUGGGGCGGUCUCCUCCUAAAGAGUAACGGAGGAGCACGAAGGUUGGCUAAUCCUGGUCGGACAUCAGGAGGUUAGUGCAAUGGCAUAAGCCAGCUUGACUGCGAGCGUGACGGCGCGAGCAGGUGCGAAAGCAGGUCAUAGUGAUCCGGUGGUUCUGAAUGGAAGGGCCAUCGCUCAACGGAUAAAAGGUACUCCGGGGAUAACAGGCUGAUACCGCCCAAGAGUUCAUAUCGACGGCGGUGUUUGGCACCUCGAUGUCGGCUCAUCACAUCCUGGGGCUGAAGUAGGUCCCAAGGGUAUGGCUGUUCGCCAUUUAAAGUGGUACGCGAGCUGGGUUUAGAACGUCGUGAGACAGUUCGGUCCCUAUCUGCCGUGGGCGCUGGAGAACUGAGGGGGGCUGCUCCUAGUACGAGAGGACCGGAGUGGACGCAUCACUGGUGUUCGGGUUGUCAUGCCAAUGGCACUGCCCGGUAGCUAAAUGCGGAAGAGAUAAGUGCUGAAAGCAUCUAAGCACGAAACUUGCCCCGAGAUGAGUUCUCCCUGAC